rnacentral:rRNA from 1 species
CCUACGGGAGGCAGCAGUGAGGAAUAUUGGUCAAUGGCCGUAAGGCUGAACCAGCCAAGUCGCGUGAAGGAAGAAGGAUCUAUGGUUUGUAAACUUCUUUUAUAGGGGAAUAAAGGUAUCCACGUGUGGAUGUUUGCAUGUACCCUAUGAAUAAGCAUCGGCUAACUCCGGGCCAGCAGCCGCGGUAAUACGGAGGAUGCGAGCGUUAUCCGGAUUUAUUGGGUGUAAAGGGUGCGUAGGUUGUGUUUUAAGUCAGCGGUGAAAGUUUGUGGCUCAACCAUAAAACUGCCGUGGAAACUGGAAGACUUGAGUGCGUGUGAGGCAGGCGGAAUGCGUGGUGUAGCGGUGAAAUGCAUAGAUAUCACGAAGAACACCGACGGCGAAGGCAGCUUACUAGGCCAUAACUGACACUGAAGCACGAAAGCGUGGGGAUCAAACAGGAUUAGAUACCCGUGUAGUC